AUUGAACGCUGGCGGCAGGCUUAACACAUGCAAGUCGAACGAUUGGCGGACGGGUGAGUAAUGCUUGGGAAUCUAGCUUAUGGAGGGUGAUAACUACGGGAAACUGUAGCUAAUACCGCGUACCAUAGGAUGAGCCCAAGUGGGAUGAGGUAGUUGGUGAGGUAAAGGCUCACCAAGCCGACGAUCUCUAUCUGGUCUGCGAGGAUGACCAGCCACACUGUGACUGAGACAUGGCCCAGACUCCUACGAGAGGCAGAAGUGGGGAAUAUUGCGAAAUGGGGGCAAAAUGACGCAGCCAUGCCGCGUGAAUGAAGAAGGCCUUCGGGUUGUAAAGUUCUUUCGGUAGCGAGGCGUUAACUACAGAAGAAGAACCGGCUAACUCCGUGCCAGCAGCCGCGGUAAUUC
rnacentral:rRNA from 1 species